CUAACACAUGCAAGUCGACGAGAUGCUUAUCGGAAAGCUUCGGCCGGAAGAUAAGUUAUCUAGUGGCGGACGGGUGAGUAACACGUGGGUAACCUGCCUUAUGGAGGGGGAUAACAGAGAGAAAUCACUGCUAAUACCGCAUAAGCACACAGUACCGCAUGGUACAGGGUGAAAAGAUUUAUCGCCAUAAGAUGGACCCGCGUCUGAUUAGCCAGUUGGCAGGGUAAAAGCCUACCAAAGCAACGAUCAGUAGCCGAUCUGAGAGGAUGACCGGCCACAUUGGGACUGAGACACGGCCCAAACUCCUACGGGAGGCAGCAGUGGGGAAUAUUGCACAAUGGGGGAAACCCUGAUGCAGCGACGCCGCGUGAGUGAAGAAGUAUUUCGGUAUGUAAAGCUCUAUCAGCAGGGAAGAUAAUGACAGUACCUGACUAAGAAGCCCCGGCUAACUACGUGCCAGCAGCCGCGGUAAUACGUAGGGGGCAAGCGUUAUCCGGAUUUACUGGGUGUAAAGGGAGCGUAGACGGAAUGGCAAGUCUGAAGUGAAAUACCCGGGCUCAACCUGGGAACUGCUUUGGAAACUGUUGUUCUAGAGUGUUGGAGAGGUAAGUGGAAUUCCUGGUGUAGCGGUGAAAUGCGUAGAUAUCAGGAAGAACACCGGAGGCGAAGGCGGCUUACUGGACAAUAACUGACGUUGAGGCUCGAAAGCGUGGGGAUCAAACA
rnacentral:rRNA from 1 species